UGGUGGAGCAGACUUGAUGGGCCGAAUGGCCUAAUUCUGCUCCUAUGGCUUAUGAAGGAAUGAAAUGUCUCCAGUGACUUCGCUGUGCUGUUUCCGUGCUGUUCGAUUCAAGACUCUGUGACAUUCCUGCAUUAUUGUGUCAACAUCAGACCACGGUUUAUAAGAUGAGAAAAGUGCUGGGAUUAGCUGGGAAAAUACCGGAGGAAAUGCCGGAGAACAUCCUGCACUAAACAGGAAAGCUGCCGCGGGUUGUUAUAUCCUCUUCACCAUGUAAGUAAUUCCCUUUCUGUUUUUAUCUUGAACAGCGGCAAGAGGCAGAACACUAGACAAGUUCUCGAUUGGUAAAAACCAAGUAACGCUCAUCUCCAUUCGACUACGUAACACAGACUGAGGUUUCUGAACCUGCGCAGACUUUCUCUGACCAUCUCCUACCAUGACAAGACUCUAUUAAACUCUCGUCAGAAGAAGCCUCAUUGUGGACUAAUCCACACUAUCAUCAGAAGCUUGCAGAGCUGGGCGGCAUGGUGACAGCGGUAGAGUUGCUGCCUCACGGCGCCAGAGACCCGGGUUCCAUCCUGACUACGGGUGCUGUCUGUACUG